UGGAUUGGUGCCUUCGGGAACUGUGAGACAGGUGCUGCAUGGCUGUCGUCAGCUCGUGUUGUGAAAUGUUGGGUUAAGUCCCGCAACGAGCGCAACCCUUAUCCUUUGUUGCCAGCGGUCCGGCCGGGAACUCAAAGGAGACUGCCAGUGAUAAACUGGAGGAAGGUGGGGAUGACGUCAAGUCAUCAUGGCCCUUACGACCAGGGCUACACACGUGCUACAAUGGCGCAUACAAAGAGAAGCGACCUCGCGAGAGCAAGCGGACCUCAUAAAGUGCGUCGUAGUCCGGAUUGGAGUCUGCAACUCGACUCCAUGAAGUCGGAAUCGCUAGUAAUCGUGGAUCAGAAUGCCACGGUGAAUACGUUCCCGGGCCUUGUACACACCGCCCGUCACACCAUGGGAGUGGGUUGCAAAAGAAGUAGGUAGCUUAACCUUCGGGAGGGCGCUUACCACUUUGUGAUUCAUGACUGGGGUGAAGUCGUAACAAGGUAACCGUAGGGGAACCUGCGGUUGGAUCACCUCCUUACCUUAAAGAAGC
rnacentral:rRNA from 1 species